AUACGUAGGUGGCGAGCGUUGUCCGGAAUUACUGGGUGUAAAGGGCGUGUAGGCGGGUUCUUAAGUCAGAUGUGAAAUCCCGGGGCUCAACUCCGGAGCUGCAUCUGAAACUGGGGAUCUUGAGUGCUGGAGGGGAAAGUGGAAUUCCUAGUGUAGCGGUGAAAUGCGUAGAGAUUAGGAGGAACACCAGUGGCGAAGGCGGCUUUCUGGACAGCAACUGACGCUGAGGCGCGAAAGCGUGGGGAGCAAACAGGAUUAGAUACCCUGGUAGUCCACGCCGUAAACGAUGGAUACUAGGUAUAGGGGGUUAAGAUACCCUCUGUGCCGCAGCUAACGUAUUAAGUAUCCCACCUGGGGAGUACGGCCGCAAGGCUGAA
rnacentral:rRNA from 1 species